UGACACGCAGAUCUAUCUUUCAAUUAAACUACCCAUGAUAGAAUUAUGUUGUCUCCAUAAAUGAGGUCAUUGUUGUGUUUGCACAUCUUGAAAAGGUGAUCCACCCUUUAACUCAGUGUGGCUACCUUUUUGUGACUCUCAUCAUAAAGAAUCAUCAGUAAGAAAAUGACAAGAUAAAAUUCUGCUACCAGUCUGUUAACCAGGAAGACGUGUAACAGAGAGAAGUGAAAAUACAGAUCUAAGAGGAGAUGGAGAGAUUCAGGGAGGAGCUGAGCUGUUACUGAACUAUAGAAGAGAGAGGAACUUCCAUAUUCAGCAGAGUUCAAUACACAAACCACAAACAUUACCUUUAUUCAACAUGCUGUCAUUAGACUAUUAUGGACUGUCUCUGCUGAUUCUCACUACUCUGACAGGCAUCAACAGUGAAGAUCUGACUCCAGUCAACAAUGAAGAGUUUAGUUCAGGCAGCUCUGUUACUCUGUCCUACAAAUACGCCAAGUCAAUAACUGCUAGUGAUGAUUUCUUCUGGUAUCGACAAUAUCCAGGAAAACCACCAGAGUUCCUCCUGUACAUCUCAGGACUUAACAUGUCAAGAGCAGCAGAUUCUCUAAAAUCUGAAACAAGGUUCUUCACUCAGCUUUCUGGAGAAAACCAUGGUGUCAAUCUGCAGAUCUCCUCUGCUGCAGUGACAGACUCUGCUGUGUACUACUGUGCUGUGAGGCCCACAGUGACAGGAAACACCACAACUCUGUACAAAAACCUUUGGAGCAAAGACAACACAAUACUCUACAACAUCCACUAGAGGGAGUCACACACUGUUAAAAGAUGAAGUUUUCGGA